rnacentral:tRNA from 1 species
UGAUGUGGCUUAGAGGUAAAGCACUGCCUUGGUAAGGCAGAGACCACGGGUUCGAGCCCCGUCAUCA